rnacentral:rRNA from 1 species
CUGUGACUCCUACGGGGAGCAGCAGUGAGAAGUAUGGUCAAUGGACGCAAGUCUGAACCAGCCAUGUCGCGUGCAGGAAGACUGCCCUAUGGGUUGUAAACUGCUUUAUACGGGGAAGAAAUAUAGCUACGUGUAGUUAUUGCCGGUACCGUAUGAAUAAGCAUCGGCUAACUCCGUGCCAGCAGCCGCGGUAAUACGGAGGAUGCGAGCGUUAUCCGGAUUCAUUGGGUUUAAAGGGUGCGUAGGCGGAAGUAUAAGUCAGGGGUGAAAGUUUGUGGCUCAACCAUAAAAAUUGCCUUUGAUACUGUAUUUCUUGAGUACAUUUGAGGUAGGCGGAAUGUGUUGUGUAGCGGUGAAAUGCUUAGAUAUAACACAGAACACCGAUUGCGAAGGCAGCUUACUAAACUAGUAAACUGACGCUGAUGCACGAAAGCGUGGGGAUCGAACAGGAUUAGAUACCCUGGUAG